CCUACGGGAGGCAGCAGUGGGGAAUUUUGGACAAUGGGCGCAAGCCUGAUCCAGCCAUGCCGCGUGUCUGAAGAAGGCCUUCGGGUUGUAAAGGACUUUUGUCAGGGAAGAAAAGGCUGUUGCUAAUAUCGACAGCUGAUGACGGUACCUGAAGAAUAAGCACCGGCUAACUACGUGCCAGCAGCCGCGGUAAUACGUAGGGUGCGAGCGUUAAUCGGAAUUACUGGGCGUAAAGCGAGCGCAGACGGUUACUUAAGCAGGAUGUGAAAUCCCCGGGCUCAACCUGGGAACUGCGUUCUGAACUGGGUGACUAGAGUGUGUCAGAGGGAGGUAGAAUUCCACGUGUAGCAGUGAAAUGCGUAGAGAUGUGGAGGAAUACCGAUGGCGAAGGCAGCCUCCUGGGAUAACACUGACGUUCAUGCUCGAAAGCGUGGGUAGCAAACAGGAUUAGAUACCCCAGUAGUC
rnacentral:rRNA from 1 species